CAUUAAGAAGCUAUGCAACAGCACUAGCCUUUUAAGCUAGAGAUAGAGGUUUACUAACACCUCCUUAAUGA
rnacentral:tRNA from 1 species